ACGGAAGGCAGCAGUGGGGAAUAUUGCACAAUGGGCGAAAGCCUGAUGCAGCGACGCCGCGUGAACGAUGAAGUAUUUCGGUAUGUAAAGUUCUAUCAGCAGGGAAGAUAAUGACGGUACCUGACUAAGAAGCACCGGCAAACUUCGUGCCAGCAGCCGCGGUAAUACGAGGGGUGCAAGCGUUGUUCGGAAUCACUGGGCGUAAAGGGAGCGCAGGCGGAGAUGCAAGCAGUCUGUACAAUACCGGGGCCCAACCCCGGACCUGCAGACUGGACUGUUUCUCUUGGAUAGUUCAGGGGCAAGCGGAAUUCCUGGUGUAGCGGUGGAAUGCGUAGAGAUCAGGAAGAACACCGAUGGCGAAGGCAGCUUGCUGGGGACUUAUCGACGCUCAUGCUCGAAAGUGCGGGUAGCAAACAGGAUUAGAUACCCUGGUA
rnacentral:rRNA from 1 species